rnacentral:rRNA from 1 species
GAUGAACGCUGGCGGCGUGCUUAACACAUGCAAGUCGAACGGUGAAAGCGGAGCUUGCUCUGCUGGAUCAGUGGCGAACGGGUGAGUAACACGUGAGCAAUCUGCCCCUGACUCUGGGAUAAGCGCUGGAAACGGCGUCUAAUACCGGAUACGAGCUGCGAAGGCAUCUUCAGCAGCUGGAAAGAACUUCGGUCAGGGAUGAGCUCGCGGCCUAUCAGCUAGUUGGUGAGGUAACGGCUCACCAAGGCGUCGACGGGUAGCCGGCCUGAGAGGGUGACCGGCCACACUGGGACUGGGACACGGCCCAGACUCCUACGGAGGCAGCAGUGGGGAAUAUUGCACAAUGGGCGAAAGCCUGAUGCAGCAACGCCGCGUGAGGGACGACGGCCUUCGGGUUGUAAACCUCUUUUAGCAGGGAAGAAGCGAAAGUGACGGUACCUGCAGAAGAAGCCCCGGCUAACUUCGUGCCAGCCGCCGCAGUAA